rnacentral:rRNA from 1 species
AGUGAACGCUGGCGGUAGGCCUAACACAUGCAAGUCGAACGGCAGCACAGUAAGAGCUUGCUCUUACGGGUGGCGAGUGGCGGACGGGUGAGGAAUACAUCGGAAUCUACCUUUUCGUGGGGGAUAACGUAGGGAAACUUACGCUAAUACCGCAUACGACCUACGGGUGAAAGCAGGGGAUCUUCGGACCUUGCGCGAUUGAAUGAGCCGAUGUCGGAUUAGCUAGUUGGCGGGGUAAAGGCCCACCAAGGCGACGAUCCGUAGCUGGUCUGAGAGGAUGAUCAGCCACACUGGAACUGAGACACGGUCCAGACUCCUACGGGAGGCAGCAGUGGGGAAUAUUGGACAAUGGGCGCAAGCCUGAUCCAGCUAUACCGCGUGGGUGAAGAAGGCCUUCGGGUUGUAAAGCCCUUUUGUUGGGAAAGAAAAGCAGCAGGUUAAUACCCCGCUGUUCUGACGGUACCCAAAGAAUAAGCACCGGCUAACUUCGUG